CCUACGGGUGGCAGCAGUCGGGAAUAUUGCGCAAUGGAGGAAACUCUGACGCAGUGACGCCGCGUAUAGGAAGAAGUUUUUCGGAAUGUAAACUAUUGUCGUUAGGGAAGAGAAAGGACAGUACCUAAGGAGGAAGCUCCGGCUAACUCCGUGCCAGCAGCCGCGGUAAUACGGAGGGUGCGAGCGUUAAUCGGAAUUACUGGGCGUAAAGCGCUCGUAGGCGGUAUGUCAAGUCAAGGGUGAAAUCCCCGCGCUCAACGUGGGAACUGCCUUUGAAACUGGCAAACUGGAGUGUGUGAGAGGAUAGUGGAAUUCCAGGUGUAGGAGUGAAAUCCGUAGAUAUCUGGAGGAACAUCAGUGGCGAAGGCGACUAUCUGGCACAUAACUGACGCUGAGGAGCGAAAGCGUGGGUAGCAAACAGGAUUAGAUACCCGUGUAGUC
rnacentral:rRNA from 1 species